CGAACGAAGUAGCAAUACUUAGUGGCAGACGGGUGAGUAACACGUAGUCAACCUUCCUUUUAGUGGGGGAUAACUAGCCGAAAGGUUAGCUAAUACCGCAUACGAUCGUCGAGCGGCAUCGCUUGACGAUGAAAGCAGCAAUGCGCUAAGAGACGGGACUGCGUCCCAUUAGUUAGUUGGUGGGGUAAUGGCCUACCAAGACUCCGAUGGGUAGCUGGCUUGAGAGAGCGACCAGCCACACUGGAACUGAGACACGGUCCAGACUCCUACGGGAGGCAGCAGUGAGGAAUUUUCCGCAAUGGGGGCAACCCUGACGGAGCGACGCCGCGUGUGGGAAGAAGGCCUUCGGGUCGUAAACCACUGUCGAAGGGGACGAUAUUGACGGUACCCUUGGAGGAAGCCCCGGCUAACUACGUGCCAGCAGCCGCGGUAAGACGUAGGGGGCAAGCGUUGUCCGGAAUUAUUGGGCGUAAAGCGCUCGUAGGCGGAUCUUUAAGUCCGUGAAGAAAUACC
rnacentral:rRNA from 1 species